rnacentral:piRNA from 1 species
UGAACUUCCUAUUGGUGUGCUCUGGC